rnacentral:sRNA from 1 species
CGCGAAAGUCCCGCAAGGGAUAAGUAGAGUGGCAUUCUCCUGAGUAAUGCAUAAGUAAUCUACCCUUGAGUGGGGGAUAACUCCGGGAAACCGGUGCUAAUCCCGCAUAACGUCCGGAUGCGUAAGCAUUCGGAUCAAAGGGGGGGAUCCUUCGGGACCUCUCGCUUGAGGAUGAGCCUAUGUCCUAUUAGCUAGUUGGUGAGGUAAUGGCCCACCAAGGCUUUGAUGGGUAGCCGAGCUGAGAGGCUGAUCGGCCACACUGGAACUGAAACACGGUCCAAACUCCUACGGGAGGCAGCAGUGGG